GCAAUAUUUACGGUCAACUACAAAUACCAGCCACAGCCUAUCGUCUGCAGAUACUAUUCCAGAUGUAAGGAGCAGUACACCAGAUACAGCUGUUGGAAGAAGCUCUGCAGAUGUUGGACGUCUCUUCAGAGCCAUGGUGACCGAAUCAGCACCACUUUUCGAUGAUAUCGCUGAGGAGGAUGAUUCAUCAAGAGAGGUGAUUCUGAAUCUUGUUCCAGUUCCAGCACCAGAGGGUAGAUCGCCAGAAAGUGGAAGCCUGACUCCUGACCUAACA